CGGGCAGUAGCGCAGCUUGGUAGCGCGCUUCGUUCGGGACGAAGAGGUCGUGGGUUCAAAUCCCGCCUGCCCGACCA
rnacentral:tRNA from 4 species